AAAAAAGGCUUAGGAAAAUCAGCAGGUGACAAACACCCCCCGCAAAGUGUGCUUGGAUAAAUGUUGGCAGGUGAUGAAAUUUGUCUAGGACAAUAUCUGCGUUUAUGUUACCCAUCAAAACCGGUUUAUUAUCCACUACUUCACACUUAUCAAAGAAGCUAUGUAAUUUACAUGCAUGGUUUUUGUUUUUGUUUUUGCGGUACGCGGGCCUCUCACUGUUGUGGCCUCUCCCGUUGCAGAGCACAGGCUCCAGACGCGCAGGCUCAGCGGCCAUCCCUGCAUCGGCAGGCGGACUCUCAACCACUGCGCCACCAGGGAAGCCCUAUGCAUGGUUUAAACAAUACUAAAAUGAACACCUACGUACGAAAUCCAGCCCAAGGAAGGAACAUCACCAAUACUCUGGGAGCCCUGCAUAAGCCAUUACCCUCAUUUCUGCCAAAGUUUCAUCACCUGUAGAGUGGGAAGAGAAGCGGUCGAGCUGUUGUGAGGAUUACACGAGUUAAUACCUGGAAAACACCAGCACAGCGACUGGCACCCCCUGAACGCCAAGCAAGCUAGCCAUGGAGAGCGUUACACUUCACCUGCCAGCCCUAGCAAGGAAGAGACCGUGGUGGACACACAGAAAGGGAAGGUAAUUCCAUUCAUCCUAAUACUGGUACCUUUCUCUGAGCCUAUUCAGAAAAAAAGAAAGAUCAGAGUCAAUACAUGAAAAGGGUUGGAAAACAAAUGGUUGUUUCAAACCCUCUCUCAGAGGACACAAUACUAAAGACUACAGUGACCACAAAACUUCCUUUCUUAUGCUUCGGAAUGUUUUUAUCCCCAGCUGCUGAGGGAAGUACAAUUUGGGGAUCCAUCUGGGCUCCUUCCUCUUCAGCUGGAGCAGGGCAUUCCAGACUGUUCUGAUGUUCAGUGUGAGCCCUCAUCCCAUCAUUUACUGAACUGUGCAACACGGACAAGUUACAAAACUCUCUGGACCUCAGUUUCCUUAUCUAUCAAGUGGGGAUAUUAUCUUUGCCUUUCAGGCUUGUUAGGAUCAUUGAUAAUUCUGAGGUGAUAUGUGUGUGAUUACUCAACAUGGUAUGUGACAUGAGAAGGUACUCAGUAAACAGGGACGCAACCAACGGCUCUGCAGGUUUCUCAAUGCAUGGGGGUGUGUCCCGCUGAAGGGGCAAGGGAGAGAUGAACUCCAGCCUGUGUGCACCAGCAAGGUUGCAUGCAUCAGGGGUGGGAAGGGCAGCGUUUUCUGAUUUCAUAAAGGUCCUCUGUGGGUUAGCAGUAGCCCAGUAGUAGUCAAUAAAUUAUAGCUAAUUUAGCAACAGAAAGAAUGAACUGCAACAUUAAAGAGCUUGGAUAAACAGUCCCCUAAACACUGUAGAGUUGUCACUGUUGACCUAUAAAAUUCUGUUGUUACUAAUGGUAAGUUUUAAAUCAUGAUUGUUGAUAGAGAGUGAAGUAGUAUUCAUGUCAGCCAUGAUUUGACCGGAUUUGACUGGCAUUAAUAAAGGCCGCUGUUAGCUUUUAUAUAAACAAAUAUGUUUCAUUCUG